UGGGGGAUAUUGCACAAUGGGCGAAAGCCUGAUGCAGCGACGCCGCGUGGGGGAUGAAGGCCUUCGGGUUGUAAACUUCUUUUGCUCUGAACAAGGCAUGCCUUUGGGGUGUGUUGAGUGUAGGGAGUGAUUAGCGCCGGCUAACUACGUGCCAGCAGCCGCGGUAAUACGUAGGGCACGAGCGUUGUCCGGAAUUAUUGGGCGUAAAGGGCUUGUAGGUGGCUGGUUGCGUCUGUCGUGAAAGCUCAUGGCUUAACUGUGGGUUUGCGGUGGGUACGGGCUGGCUUGAGUGCAGUAGGGGAGGCUGGAAUUCCUGGUGUAGCGGUGGAAUGCGCAGAUAUCAGGAGGAAUACCGGUGGCGAAGGCGGGUCUCUGGGCUGUUACUGACGCUGAGGAGCGAAAGCGUGGGGAGCGAACAGG
rnacentral:rRNA from 1 species